rnacentral:lncRNA from 1 species
GGGCAAACAGGAGAAAUGACAGGGUACCAAAGACCGCCCUGUCAGCUGAAGGGCACCCUGGAUGCCUGUCUCUGAGCCCUCACACUCCUGUAACCUGUGAAGAGUGGGCAAGCAGAACAGGUGAUGGGUCAUGCAUCUUCCUGACACACUGUGAAGCAGGAAGAAACAGGAACAGUAGCUCUGUGUUACACGUGAGGAGCGAGAAGCACCAACAUGGUUGCUGUCCUGGAACUCACAAAGCAGGCUGCCUGGGCUUGCCAGGGAAGCCCCAGGAAUCUGCCUGUCUCCAUCGUCAUCUCCCCAGUACUGGAGUUACAAGUGUGAGCCAACGCAACUGGCCUUUUCCCAUUGGCUCUGGGGAUGGACUCAGAUCCUCAGGCACUUGCCUGACUGGGCUUCCCUCUUCAGCCCCUUUCUUCCACAAUUCUUAGAUCAUUAUAAGUAAAACGUUAUU